rnacentral:rRNA from 1 species
AACGAACGCUGGCGGCAUGCCUAACACAUGCAAGUCGAACGAAGUCUUCGGACUUAGUGGCGCACGGGUGCGUAACGCGUGGGAAUCUGCCCUUGGGUGCGGAAUAACUUCUCGAAAGGGAUGCUAAUACCGCAUAAUGUCGUAAGACCAAAGAUUUAUCGCCCAAGGAUGAGCCCGCGUAAGAUUAGCUAGUUGGUGGGGUAAAAGCCUACCAAGGCGACGAUCUUUAGCUGGUCUGAGAGGAUGAUCAGCCACACUGGGACUGAGACACGGCCCAGACUCCUACGGGAGGCAGCAGUGGGGAAUAUUGGACAAUGGGCGAAAGCCUGAUCCAGCAAUGCCGCGUGAGUGAUGAAGGCCCUAGGGUUGUAAAGGCUCUUUUACCAGGGAUGAUAAUGACAGUACCUGGAGAAUAAGCUCCGGCUAACUCCGUGCCAGCAGCCGCGGUAAU